GACGAACGCUGGCGGCGUGCUUAACACAUGCAAGUCGAACGGUGAAGCGCCUUCUUCUUUGGUGGGCGUGGAUGAGUGGCGAACGGGUGAGUAACACGUGAGUAACCUGUGCCCUUCUACGGGAUAACCGCAUGACAGUUUGGCUAAUACGGGUGAGUGUGGGUCUGUCGCAUGUUGGGUCUGGGAGAUAUAAUGUUUCGGUGGGGGGUGGGCUCGCGGUCUAUCAGUUUGUUGGUGGGGUGGUGGCCUACCAAGGCGGUGACGGGUAGCCGGCCUGAGAGGGUGGACGGUCACAGUAGGGCGGAGACGCGGACAAGACUACUACGGGAGGCAGCAGUGGGGAAUAUUGCACAAUGGGAGCAAGGCUGAUGCAGCGACGCCGCGUGAGGGAUGGACGCCUUCGGGUUGUGAACCUCUUUCGCCAGUGAAGCAGGCCUGCCUCGUUUGUGGGUGGGUUGACGGUAGCUGGAUAAGAAGCGCCGGCUAACUACGUG
rnacentral:rRNA from 1 species